GGCUCCCGGGGCUCCUGCAGGCGGCUGUGCUGCCGUGCUGCGCUGCGGCCGGGCUCCGGCCUGCCCCUAAGUGGGGCGCAGGCCGGAGCCUGUGCUCCGCGGCGCUUGUUGGGGGGUGCCGGGCUGCGGGGGGCGGCCCCGUAAGCGGGGUUGUGUGCGUCCCCUGGCCUCGGCGGGCGGUUGGAGGGACCCCCUGUAAUCAGGCGGGUACCCCUGGCCCCGGUCUUUCAGAGGCGUGGGGCCAGGAGUCAUGGGGCCAGGCACGUGCCCUCCCUGUCCUCGGGGCUGGGCUCGCGGCCCCUCGGGCGCCUCGGCUUUAGGCCGUGAGCUCGACUGCCUGACUGUAGAGUCUGGUUCCUGUUGCCUUGGGGGAAGGCCGAGCUCGGUGGCUCCCUGCGUGUGCACCGGCCUGUAAGCAGGCUGCGGGUCUGGGGGCCUUUGUGCUCCCUUCAGCUGGCAGCCUGCGUGGGGCGCCCGCCCCGUUAGUGGGGAUGGCCCCGGACUUGGAGAGAAGGAGCCUGCUUAGGCCUUGGGGACCAGAGCCGCCCCGUAAGUCGGGGCCGGUGCUCUGGGGUCCCGGGCACUUUGCAGUCCAGGCAGCGGCUUGAGCUCCCUGUAAGCAGGGGUGCAGCCUCUUGGCCGCUGCUCUGCGUGCCCAGCUUGGUUUGCCCAGAGGGCCCGGCUCCCAGCACGGCGUGGGACUGUGCCGGACGUCGCGAUGGAUCAUUCCGGCCUUUCCAGUCACAGUUUUGAGUUUUCGAAGGAUACCUUUAUGGGCACAAAUACUCUGAUAAUAUUUCAAACCUGGAACAUUUAAGUGAGAAACAAGGUAAGCCCCGUUCCUUCCAACAAUGCAUUUCUUUGUGCCUAAAUUAAA